UACGUAGGGCGCGAGCGUUGUCCGGAAUUAUUGGGCGUAAAGAGCGCGCAGGCGGUCGUUCAAGUCGCGUGUGAAAGCCCCCGGCUCAACUGGGGAGGGUCACGCGAUACUGAUCGACUCGAAGGCAGGAGAGGGUAGUGGAAUUCCCGGUGUAGUGGUGAAAUGCGUAGAUAUCGGGAGGAACACCAGUGGCGAAGGCGACUACCUGGCCUGUUCUUGACGCUGAGGCGCGAAAGCUAGGGGAGCAAACGGG
rnacentral:rRNA from 1 species